UACGUAGGCAGCGAGCGUUGUUCGGAGUUACUGGGCGUAAAGCGCACGUAGGCGGAUCGUUAAGUCGGGGGUGAAAUCCUGGAGCUCAACUCCAGAACUGCCUUCGAUACUGGCGAUUUUGAGUCCGGAAGAGGUGAGUGGAACUCCUAGUGUAGAGGUGGAAUUCGUAGAUAUUAGGAAGAACACCAGUGGCGAAGGCGGCUCACUGGUCCGGUACUGACGCUGAGGUGCGAAAGCGUGGGGAGCAAACAGG
rnacentral:rRNA from 1 species